rnacentral:ncRNA from 1 species
AGAAAAGCGUAGACGGAAAUUAGUAAGUCAAUGGAUUAGUUUCAGUGAGAACCAGAUAGUGUGAAUGGUUUAAUUCGUCCGUGACUGAAUUCACUUCCUGAGUGGUUACUGGGAGAUGACGAAGGUAGCCCGGUGUUAGGCCGUUAUCUGACUUAGUGAGUGUUGCUUGCUUAUUUUGGAAAAGGAGAUAAGCGGCAAAACAAGGGUGGUACCGCGAAGCCUCGUCCCUUUU